rnacentral:rRNA from 1 species
AGAGUUUGAUCCUGGCUCAGGACGAACGCUGGCGGCGUGCCUAAUACAUGCAAGUCGAGCGGACCUGAUGGAGUGCUUGCACUCCUGAUGGUUAGCGGCGGACGGGUGAGUAACACGUAGGCAACCUGCCCGUAAGACCGGGAUAACUACCGGAAACAGGUAGCUAAUACCGGAUAAUCAAGUCUUCCGCAUGGGAGUCUUGGGAAAGGCGGAGCAAUCUGUACACUUACGGAUGGGCCUGCGGCGCAUAUAGCUAAAGUUGGUGGGGUAACGGCUCACCAAGGCGACGAUGCGUAGCCGACCUGAGAGGGUGAACGGCCACACUGGGACUGAGACACGGCCCAAGACUCCUACGGGAGGCAGCAGUAGGGAAUCUUCCGCAAAUGGACGAAAGUCUGACGGAGCAACGCCGCGUGAGUGAUGAAGGUUUUCGGAUGUAAAGCUCUGUUGCCAGGGAAGAACGUCUUCUGGAGUACCUGCCAGGAGAGUGACGGUACCUGAGAAGAAAGCCCCGGCUAACUACGUGCCAGCAGCCGCGGUAAUACGUAGGGGGCAAGCGUUGUCCGGAAUUAUUGGGCGUAAAGCGCGACGCAGGCGGACUGUUUAAGUCUGGUGUAUAAAUCCUGGGGCUCAACUCCGGGUCGCACUGGAAACUGGACGGCUUGAGUGCAGAAGAGGAGAGUGGAAUUCCACGUGUAGCGGUGAAAUGCGUAGAGAUGUGGAAGGAACACCAGUGGCGAAGGCGACUCUCUGGGCUGUAACUGACGCUGAGGCGCGAAAGCGUGGGGAGCAAACAGGAUUAGAUACCCUGGUAGUCCACGCCGUAAACGAUGAGUGCUAGGGGUUAGGGGUUUCGAUACACCUUGGUGCCGAAGUAAAACAACAUUAAGCAACUCCGCCUGGGGAGUACGGCCGCAAGGCAGAAACUCAAAGGAAUUGACGGGGAACCCGCACAAGCAGUGGAGUAUGUGGUUUAAUUCGAAGCAACGCGAAGAACCUUACCAGGUCUUGAACAUCACCUCUAGACCGCUGUAGAGAUAUGGCUUUCCUUCGGGACAGAGGAGACAGGUGGUGCAUGGUUGUCGUCAGCUCGUGUCGUGAGAUGUUGGGUUAAGUCCCGCAACGAGCGCAACCCUUGACUUUAGUUGCCAGCAAGUAAAGUUGGGCAACUCUAGAGUGACUGCCGGUGACAAACCGGAGGAAGGUGGGGAUGACGUCAAAUCAUCAUGCCCCUUAUGACCUGGGCUACACACGUACUAACAAUGGCCGGUACAACGGGAAGCGAAGUCGUGAUAUGGAGCGAAUCCUAGAAAAGCCGAUCUCAGUUCGGAUUGCAAGGCUGCAACUCGCCUGCAUGAAGUCGGAAUUGCUAGUAAUCGCGGAUCAGCAUGCCGCGGUGAAUACGUUCCCGGGUCUUGUACA